GGCUUUAUGUACUCUAUCUCUUUAUCCAUGGGCAUCAGAGGAGAGGAGUGCAGAACGCCAGAGAAGUGAAGCAUAGUUCCUCACGAACUCGUGCAUCUUCACAUGUCCCACUUUCUCUGCACAAACUUCUUCUUUUUGUAGAAGUCGUAAGACCCAAACCUAUAGAUGUUCAUUUUGAAAAAGAAAAUCCAAAGUUAGUGUUGUGUAGAAAGUUUACAAUCGUGUUAUUUAGUAUACGUAUGAGGAAAAAAGAUGGCAUUUGGAAAAGGAAUUUAAGGUUUCACAGUCUGGCUAGUGGGAAACAACACCUUAAGAGGCCUGAAACACGUGACUUCUCUCCUUGUCCAUUUUAUGACUGCGGUGAAAACCCAAAGAACCUUCUUUGAAGUGCAUCAAAAACUAGGUCCAUCGAGGGUUCCCCCACAGUUGUGGUCUUGAGCAGUGAAU
rnacentral:lncRNA from 1 species